rnacentral:rRNA from 1 species
GAUGAACGCUGGCGGCGUGCCUAAUACAUGCAAGUCGAGCGAACAGACGAGGAGCUUGCUCCUCUGACGUUAGCGGCGGACGGGUGAGUAACACGUGGAUAACCUACCUAUAAGACUGGGAUAACUUCGGGAAACCGGAGCUAAUACCGGAUAAUAUAUUGAACCGCAUGGUUCAAUAGUGAAAGACGGUUUUGCUGUCACUUAUAGAUGGAUCCGCGCCGCAUUAGCUAGUUGGUAAGGUAACGGCUUACCAAGGCGACGAUGCGUAGCCGACCUGAGAGGGUGAUCGGCCACUGGAACUGAGACACGGUCCAGACUCCUACGGGAGGCAGCAGUAGGGAAUCUUCCGCAAUGGGCGAAAGCUUGACGGAGCAACGCCGCGUGAGUGAUGAAGGUCUUCGGAUCGUAAAACUCUGUUAUUAGGGAAGAACAAAUGUGUAAGUAACUAUGCACGUCUUGACGGUACCUAAUCAGAAAGCCACGGCUAACUACGUG